rnacentral:tRNA from 1 species
AGCCUUGUGGUGUAAAACAUAUUGGAUUGCAAAUCCAAGGAUGCAGAUUAAUCUCUGCCGGGGCUU